UACACUGCAAUACACCCAUUUUCAACCCAAUAAUGACCAUAGCAUAGAGAGCUGCAGCAGCACCAAUACAGGCAGCAUCAGUACUGAACACCACUGUCCCUGUAUCAGCAUGUUCCAGCAGCAACACUACAACUGAAAACAAGUCAGAGAGACCCAAGAGAAACCACUGAUCUGGGUGGAGAUGUCAUUCAAGAUUCGGCCCUAAUAAGGUAAUGGUCUUGGAAGGGCAUGUAUGGAAUUUCCAAUUCUCAAUCACAAACCCUAAUUUUGGCUCGAAAUGCAUUGUAUAAGACUUAAAUCCCCAAAUCCAAUCAACAUAUUUCAGCAAUUAGGCAGGAUGGUGUUUGUACAUGUAAAGGUGAGUACUCUGUUAUCUUCCAUGUCUUCUUCUUCUCCUUCAAUAUUGUGUUACAAAGCAACAACACUUUGUCAGAAUUUUGCGAGUUAUCGAUAUCAAUUUAGAACUUUAAGGAUUGAGAAGGUAUUGAGUUUAUAUAAUCUGUUAAUGCAGAUGACACCCUGUGAUUGAAAACUAUUCCACCUUGUUUUCUUUGUAAUAAUGGUGUACCCACAAAUAAUUUUAGCUUCUUACUUAAGAAGAUUGACAGAAUUUUCUCACUUAUAGAUCUUCUCUUGGUCUUCCCCAAACUCUCUCAUAUUUACCCACCAUAUCACUUUUAUAAUCUGUUUCCUAAAUCUCACUGGAACUAUAGCUUUCUUCUUUACUUUGAUUUGUAGUCUGAAACUUGUAAGAAUGUUGAGUUUUUGUAUUAUUUUCAAGAAUCCCAUGGUACCACCUUCAAGUUUUUAAAUCAUCUUUUAUUUUCUUCUAUCCCCAGCUGUGGUUAUUUCUCCACCGACUUAGAAUUUUUGUUCCUCGACUGUGGUUAUUUCUCCACCGAUUGUACUUACGAGGGGUACCAAAAGUUUCGGUUUUCUUCAUCCACUCCGUGUUGCUUCACCUAAACCUAUUACAAAGGUGGGUACUCAGUUGCUUUCCGUGUCUUCUCUUUCAAUAUUGUGUUACAAAAUCAUGAUUGAAAACUAUUCCAUGGUGUACUGUAUUUUGGAAGUUUACGAAUUUUUUGGUUUGAAUUGGAUUUUGCACUAAAUCUUCCUUUAAUUCUUUAAAGGAAAUGAUUGUGGGGAUAAAUCCUUGAAGAAAUUACUAUGUAGUUGAUUGAUAGAUGAAUGAAAUGUGCGCAGAAAACUUUACAUAAAAUUUGGUUGAUGUUAUUUGCAAAGAAUGGAUGAUCGAAGAAGCACAAGGAUUGUUAAAGUCAAUGAUUCAAUGAAGGGGAGAGUUAUUGACCAAGAAUACAAUUAUGACAAUUGUUGGCUUUGGGAAUGAGAUAGGCAAACAAGCAGCAGAAGCAGCCUAGUCUCUGGACUCUGCAGUUACAGAUUCUCUCUUUUGGCUUGAAAUUUGUAUUUUUGCUUUGUGUUUGUUAUUGGCUGAUGACCUGAUGGGGUAUUUAAACCUGCUAAUCGGGCAUGUAACAUUUCAUGGUGAUUAAUUAAAUUGUGAGAAAGAGAGUUUUAAUGGUUUAUAAAGGUUCCGGAUCUAUAGUUGGCUAUGGCAUUGUUUUAAAUGGCUAUUUCUAGGAUAGCAGAAUUAACAAGGUCUAUUUGAUUAUAAUUGCUACCUUGUUGCCUGGUUGUGUAUUCUGUGAGAUUGUGAGACAGCUUUUAAUUUGUUUAUCUCUGGAGGCUUAAAGUUAAAAUCUGAUAUUGGUGUGCCUGUGACAAUUAUUUUAGCCCUGAAUCAUAAUAAAUUCAGGCAAAGGAUAUAUACAAUUAUACAUCCAUUCAAUUAAGAGAAAAGUUGCUCGUACACGAUCUUCACAAAAAAUGGGCAGUACAUGUAGAUUUGGAAAUGUUCAUUGCAUAUUUUCUG
rnacentral:lncRNA from 1 species